AUCGAUGAUAGAAUUCAAAAGGGCGUAUUGCAAAUUGACGUUUUCCGACAUGAAAGCCAUGGGUUCACUUCCUGGUUUUUGAUCAAGAUGUAUGGAGGAAUUAGUUAGACCAUCAGAGGCAAGAAUGUGUUGGAAAGGUUGGAUGCGAUCCUUGCGAGCAAAAUCCCAAGCACCAAUUUUGUCAAAAAACAUGCGGGUAUGAUUCGUUAAAGAGCUACAACGAUUAGAGUACGUUUCAAACUUCCAAUCCUUUAAUUUCAUCGUAUCCUGAAUGUCCAAAAGCCCAACUUUGAGUGAUUGAGUUACGGGAUUACUCUGUAGUCCAGCAGCUAAAGCCAGUCCGACAGGACCGGAUCCUACUAUAACAACAUCGAAUUGACGUUGAAGUAUUUUUUGGCUUGCAAACUUCCUCGUGUAUAUUCCUAAAGUUGGACUGAUAGUAGGCAUCUCGACACGAGAAACCCCUCUUAAAACCAAAGAACUCAUGAGCCGGCCUUUAAUGCAAAUAUAGUUCCAAAAGAUAGAAUAAAGAU